UACGUAGGGUGCAAGCGUUGUCCGGAAUUAUUGGGCGUAAAGAGCUCGUAGGUGGCCUGUCGCGUCGGCUGUGAAAACUCGGGGCUCAACUCCGAGCUUGCAGUCGAUACGGGCAGGCUAGAGUUCGGCAGGGGAGACUGGAAUUCCUGGUGUAGCGGUGAAAUGUGCAGAUAUCAGGAGGAACACCGGUGGCGAAGGCGGGUCUCUGGGCCGAUACUGACACUGAGGAGCGAAAGCGUGGGGAGCGAACAGG
rnacentral:rRNA from 1 species